rnacentral:rRNA from 1 species
CGGGGGGGCAAGCGUUGUUCGGAAUUACUGGGCGUAAAGGGCUCGUAGGCGGCCAACUAAGUCCGACGUGAAAUCCCCAGGCUUAACCUGGGAACUGCGUCGGAUACUGGAUGGCUUGAAUUCGGGAGAGGGAUGCAGAAUUCCAGGUGUAGCGGUGAAAUGCGUAGAUAUCUGGAGGAAUACCGGUGGCGAAGGCGGCAUCCUGGACCGACAUUGACGCUGAGGAGCGAAAGCUAGGGGAGCAAACGGGAUUAGAUACCCCGGUAGUCCUAGCCCUAAACGAUGAAUGCUUGGUGUGGCGGGUAUCGAUCCCUGCCGUGCCGAAGCUAACGCAUUAAGCAUUCCGCCUGGGGAGGUACGGUCGCAAGGCUG